UAGGGAAUCUUCCACAAUGGGCGCAAGCCUGAUGGAGCAACACCGCGUGAGUGAAGAAGGGUUUCGGCUCGUAAAGCUCUGUUGUUAAAGAAGAACACGUAUGAGAGUAACUGUUCAUUCGUUGACGGUAUUUAACCAGAAAGUCACGGCUAACUACGUGCCAA
rnacentral:rRNA from 1 species